AAACCAACAGGGAUUGCCUUAGUAGCGGCGAGUGAAGCGGCAAAAGCUCAAAUUUGAAAUCUGGCGCCUUACGGUGUCCGAGUUGUAAUUUGAAGAUUGUAACCUUGGGGUUGGCUCUUGUCUAUGUUUCUUGGAACAGGACGUCACAGAGGGUGAGAAUCCCGUGCGAUGAGAUGCCCAAUCCUAUGUAAGGUGCUUUCGAAGAGUCGAGUUGUUUGGGAAUGCAGCUCUAAGUGGGUGGUAAAUUCCAUCUAAAGCUAAAUAUUGGCGAGAGACCGAUAGCGAACAAGUACAGUGAUGGAAAGAUGAAAAGAACUUUGAAAAGAGAGUGAAAAAGUACGUGAAAUUGUUGAAAGGGAAGGGUUUGAGAUCAGACUCGAUAUUUUGUGAGCCUUGCCUUCGUGGCGGGGUGACCCGCAGCUUAUCGGGCCAGCAUCGGUUUGGGCGGUAGGAUAAUGGCGUAGGAAUGUGACUUUACUUCGGUGAAGUGUUAUAGCCUGCGUUGAUGCUGCCUGCCUAGACCGAGGACUGCGAUUUUAUCAAGGAUGCUGGCAUAAUGAUCCCAAACCGC
rnacentral:rRNA from 1 species